CAUGCAUCUUAGAAUUACCAUUUUUUACCUCUUUAACAAUGCAUAAACGUGAAAUCUGGAGUCAAGUAGAAUCCAUUGACUAUCGUGAUUGUGAAAAACUUUGAAAUCUGAGAUGUCUAAGCUUGUUGCAGCUAAUAUAUGAUUGACGUCAACCGUAGAGAAUCUAACUACAAGGUUAGAGUGUUGUCUUGAAGAACUCCUAGCAUCGUUGUUGGGAAAAGGGAUUUAAAGUUGGGGGCUGGCUGUGGAGGCAUCUGCUAUAUGGUUGUCGCUGGAUCUGCGGACCUAGUAGUUGCCACCAAUGGAGAUGCAAGUGCUCUUGACAUAUUGACCCAAAAUACCACUUCUGAUUUCAAAAGCCACCAUUCCUUUUUCAAGUUGAUCUCGAACAUAGUAUAGCAGGGGAAUAAGGACUUCGCAAAGAAGCCAUCAAGGAAACCCCAGCACAUGAGAAUGAAUAAAGAAGUUUGUUCCAUACUGAAACACGUGGAUCAGUUAUCAUCUUGUCAAUUGGUAGGAAGGUGGUGCUUGGUUUGGGUUGGUGUUUUGUAACUGUGAAAGAAGGCUUGUACUGCAGAACCUUCUGCAAUUCGAAAGUUUGGCUUGCAUGUGUUUUUCCCUAUGUAUUUACAAAUUAGUGAAAAUUUUGUCAGCUGCUGAUUGUACCCAUAAUUGUAAUUUUUUUGUGAAUUAGAAGAUUGCUUUAAGGAAAGAUGUUGGAUGAUUAAUGUUGUACUGGACAUAUAUACAGAAUAGUGUUAAUGAUAUUUUGUGUUAGAACUCCUCA